rnacentral:rRNA from 1 species
UAGGGAAUCUUCCGCAAUGGGCGAAAGCCUGACGGAGCAACGCCGCGUGAGUGAGGAAGGUCUUCGGAUCGUAAAACUCUGUUAUUAGGGAAGAACAAAUGUGUAAGUAACUAUGCACGUCUUGACGGUACCUAAUCAGAAAGCCACGGCUAACUACGUGCCAGCAGCCGCGGUAAUACGUAGGUGGCAAGCGUUAUCCGGAAUUAUUGGGCGUAAAGCGCGCGUAGGCGGUUUUUUAAGUCGGAUGUGAAAGCCCACGGCUCAACCGUGGAGGGUCAUUGGAAACUGGAAAACUUGAGUGCAGAAGAGGAAAGUGGAAUUCCAUGUGUAGCGGUGAAAUGCGCAGAGAUAUGGAGGAACACCAGUGGCGAAGGCGACUUUCUGGUCUGUAACUGACGCUGAUGUGCGAAAGCGUGGGGAUCAAACAGG